UACGUAGGUGGCAAGCGUUGUCCGGAAUUAUUGGGCGUAAAGCGCGCGCAGGCGGUCCUUUAAGUCUGAUGUGAAAGCCCACGGCUCAACCGUGGAGGGUCAUUGGAAACUGGGGACUUGAGUGCAGGAGAGAAGAGUGGAAUUCCACGUGUAGCGGUGAAAUGCGUAGAGAUGUGGAGGAACACCAGUGGCGAAGGCGACUCUUGGCCUGUAACUGACGCUGAGGCGCGAAGCGUGGGAGCAAACAGG
rnacentral:rRNA from 1 species